AGCUAACAACAACAACAACUGCCCCAACAUCUACCACAACAACUCCGCCAACAUCUACCACUCUUACAACAACUGUGCCAAUAUCUACCAUUCUUUUAACAACAUCUGUAUCAUCAACAUUGAUAUCAACUGCAUUAACAUCAUCUACCUCUUCACUGACAACAACUCAACCAGCAAGUCAGUCAACAGCAUUAUCUCCAGAAGCUGUCCUGCGAAACAUGACAGCAGUUGCGUACAUUAAUUUCAAAAUGAGAUCCUUCGUUGAGCUGAGGAAUGAUGAAAUCGUUACAUAUCUUGAAAAGUUUUUCAAGUACACAAACAGCAGUGGGAACAUCAGGAUUACCGUGAGGAAAUCAAAAAAACUAUUGACUUGAGGAUCUGACGCGGAAAGCUGCAGUCUUUGAACGAAACGAUCAGGCAGUCAACUAAAAAAAUGUUUUUCAUUUCAUGUGCAUCGUUGCUUCAGAUUAGAUUCUGCUCCCUUCAGUGUGAACGAUUAAAAAAGCUCCCGUAUAACAUCUCAAAUUUGAAGAACGCCAGAACGGGUUGCAUCCAUCUUGCUAGAUAUUAGCUAGGUAAGUCUUUCGAGACAAUAGGCAAAAAAUUUGUUAGUGUAAAUAGGCUACAGAUUUAUAAGUGAUAUAACGUUUUAAAUAAAUGCUAAUGUAGUUACGGUGGUUGAAUCACAGGCGAUCAGGUUUUCAGUUUGUUUCUGAUGUUCCUCAUUGAUUGAUUCACUUUUUCACACCUGCUGUUCGUUUCUUUUACGUCAUCUUGAUUAUUUAUUGUCAAAUCUUUGUUAUUUCUCAUUGCUUAGGAGCUGGUUGCUCUGUUCUUGUUUCUAAUUUCUUAUUUUUUUGUGAAUAAAAGUACUUCUGCAUUAGAUCCCCUUUGUGACAUCUUUAAUUUUUGAGAUUUAACCCUUAAACUCCAGAAACACCAGAUGUGUGCACGUUAUUUGGAAGACAUUAGUAUGUAGUUAUGAAGUCAUGAAGUAUUUAAAAUAUCUGGUAAAUGCUCAUCAAUGUUGAAAUGCCUUGGCAGGUUACAAAAUGCUGAUCAACCGGUGAUGAAAACUAAAACUCUUAUGAAAAAGCAUAAGUAUCAGAUUUGUUUUUAAACCAAUUUGACAGAAAAAUGAUUUAAAUUUUGCAGGGCUUGCUUUAUUUCUAAGCGUAACCUCUUCUCUGUCCCUCUUCUUGAUUUUUUCAAAUUUAUCAAGAUUAUUAAGAAAUCUAGACAACAGAAAAUCUUUUAAUCUCAUCUGAAAUACCUGAAAACAGUGAUAUCAGAAAUGAAUGAUGGAAAUCAUGAUAUUUCCUCAUACUGAAAAUCUUGCAUACUUUACUGAUU